AUGGCUGCAAGUGACGGCGCAGGAGCCCAUCUUGGUCGAGCACCCUCCCAGGAUUUUACUACUGUUAUGGACAAAAGAAGGCUAAAGCUGGGAAAGACAACAAUGUCAGGAGCCGACCGAGAUCCAAAAUGCAGAGAAGCAAGGUUUAUUUUCCUGGAGCUCCUAUAUUGCAGCUGGUGCUAUUUUGUUAUGUCAAAUUGUGUAUUUUUCCAGCUUCCCUUCCUCAUAUAUGAGCUUGUCUAUGGUGGGAUGGGGAUUCAGAGGAUAAAGUUUAUGGCAGUAAGGAGGUCAAGCGUGAGACGUCACAUGUCAAGGGGAUUUACUAUUUAG
rnacentral:rRNA from 1 species